rnacentral:tRNA from 1 species
CACCCCCUAGUUUAAAUCCCAUAGAACGCGGCUUUGAAGCAGCUGAGGUUAGUUGGGGUUUG